AGUGAACGCUGGCGGCAGGCCUAACACAUGCAAGUCGAGCGGAUGAAGGGGGCUUGCUCCUGGAUGCAGCGGCGGACGGGUGAGUAAUGCCUAUGAAUCUGCCUGGAAGUGGGGGAUAACGUCCUGAUACGGGCUCUAAUACCGCAUACGACCUUAGGUAGAAUGUGGGGCAGCUUCGGACCUCUCGCUAUCAGAUGAGCAUAGGUCGGAUUCGCUAGUUGGUGGGGUAAAGGCUUACCAAGGCGACGAUCCGUAACUGGGCUGAGAGGAUGAUCAGUCACACUGGAAGUGAGAAACGGUCGCGACUCCUACAGGAGGACACAGUGGGAAAUACUGGACGAUGCGCGAAUGCCUGAUCUAGCCAAAUCGGGUGAAUGCAGAAGGUCUUAUGCCUGUAGAAUAAUUUAAGUUUGGAGGAUGGGAAGUUCGUUAAUAGCUUGCUGUAUUGACGUUACCAACAGAAGAAGCCCCGGCUAACUUCGUG
rnacentral:rRNA from 1 species